AUAGGAACCACAUUUAACAAAUAGCAACUACAGAAUUUCCAUGUUACCUUCUUAAUGCAGCAGAAUGUCAGAAAACACUUAAAUAAAUAGGGUAAUGAACUAGGAGAUAGACACACAAUUUGUUUUUUAAAAAUAAGAAGCAUAUGACAACCAGAAGAUAUAAAUAACAAUUUAGUUUAUAAUUGUCAUUAGGGAUAAAGAUCCUGAAACAAACUCCGGUAGAAUGUAACAUGACACCCAUAUUCAUCAUCAAAAUGUUCAUAAAAUCACAAAUUGAUUUGAGAUAAUCUGAAAUUCCAUCUAGAGGAAUGAUAAAAAUAUAUAAAGGGUGACGGAUAUGGUUUUAGAAUACAAUAAUCAAGCCAGUAAACUCACAGCGAACUGACUUUAAUUCAGAUGGGCAAGGUUUCCUCUGAAAUUUUAAAGAAAAAAAGUUAUCCAAUGGAUACAAUGUAUGAAAUUCAUGCAGACCGUGAAAGAGAAUAUCUUCAAAUUUUGAUAAUUGAAUACAUGUAUAUAGUUUAAAUUGGUAGUCUUAAAGCCCUCAGGUACCUAUAUAUGACUGGAUUUCAUGAUAUAGGAACAUAACUUGAUCUAGAACACGUCUUCAACCACACUGACAUAAGACAACUCACAAAACAGAGCGAGUUCAACAUAUCAUACACUUCAGUAAAUGGCAAAUCAAUAAGAGAGCCAACUUAAAUGCCCUAAAAUGAUCUUAAGAAAUGUCAUUAUCAUAAACAUAAAGUAUCAACAAUCAUUGCAUCCAGCACAGCCUACAUUUAUCACAAAAAUUAAACUAUAAGAGAAUGCACAAAAGACUUCCCAUUCAAAAGUUUCAAUAGAAAUGGCCAUUAUCUUAGAUAACCAAUAUCCUAGUACCAUUUGGGUAAAGCUAGUUCAUCCCUUCAUUGGCAUAUGCCUCACCAGGGCCUGCCAAACCAACCCAAACUGCCCGAUCUGCGACAUACUGGACCAAACCGGGUCAGUUUGGCUAAACAUUUCGGGACUCUGUGCGAACUAGCUUGAAGAGCUCCGAAUCGAGCGGAACUUCCUGGUUCCACUCAGUAAGACUUAGUUCGAAUCAGUUCAAGCCAUCCCAUGACUAAAAUACAAAAGGCAGCAAGAUGUCAUUCUCCUCACUUUUCCUUGAAAGUUAUUAAAGGAAGGGUAGAUUUUGUGAAAAGAUAAGGGAAGAAAUGGAUUCUCCUCUUCAUUCUUCUCUCUUUUUUUUAAUGCCUAAAAUAGGCCAAAAAUUGAUAAAAUCAAGGAAGAUAAUGUCAAAAUUUUGUUGUUUGAAUGAUUUCAUAAUAUGCUAUAGAUCUAAGAUGACCUAUGCAUUAAAAAUAUAUUUUUAGUUUAAAAAUAAUCAUUAAUAAAACAAUAUUAAAAAAAAUAUAAAAAAGGUAGUAUGUUUGGGGGUAUGCAUGUUACUUGCUAUCCUUUUUUGAUAAUAAUUUGUUAAAUUUAGUCAUGAUUAUGACUACACAAACCUAAGCGCAUGUUAAAAUAAAAAAGGGCAUCCUAGUGCACGAGAUUCUCACAACAAUGGGUUUAGUAAGGGUCAAAUAUAAGCAAUGUUCAAAAGAGAUCCAACAAUUGAUGAAGAAGCAAUUUCAUGACUUAGGAAGGGCAAGAAAAAAUGCAGUGCGGCAAGAGAGCAGACAUCCUUGUUGUGGCAUGAAAGGGAGUCAUGUGGAGAUGUUACUGACAAACCAGCAAUUUUGGAAACGACCAAGAUAGUAGUUAAGACAAUCACACCUUUGUAACACAUGCUCGAGGCUGUAGAUAGCGAGAGAUACCCCCAUGUAUGCUUCUUGUAUUAUAUGACAAUGACCGCUAAGACCAAGAUCAGGCAGGAAAAUCUGAAGCAUGGUAACUAGUAUAUCAACCUUAUUGAGUAGAGGUCAGAUUAGUAGAUGGGCAGGGAGUUGGAUUUAUAGGUAAUCCAAGUGCAGUCCUCAAUGCUUGUUGAUUCUUCUAAAAUAUAAUUGUGCAAUCCUUUGAUUGCUAAUUAAAUCAAUUAUAUGUAUUGGCAGUCUACUACCUAAAUCCAAAGUUGCAAUGCCUAGGAAUAAAAAUGGAUACGGAAUUAUUGAUCAUUCUAUGCAAUAUCAUCUACAAGAUGGAGCCUUAUGCGGUCAAUGCUUCUAGAUGUCCGAAGGAGGUAGGUUAAUCUUUAUGGGAACUAGAAACAAUACAUUAUCAACUCAAACAGAUAUAUGAUGACAUAUGUCAUGCAUAUUUCACAAACUAAAUCUUUUGAGAGAGCGCUCCUACAACUUUGGUGAGAAGGCAGCCAUGGCAAGCAAAGAUAUAAAUCCAAGUAUUUCAAACACCAACUUUAAGUGGCCAAUGUUUUCUGACAAAUAUUGUCUAAUAUCUAAUUUAUUUGAUUGUAUUUACAGCUAAAUUGUGGUUCCAUUUGGAGUUGUCAUCCAAAAACCUUAAGAAGGUUAGCAAUUUGAAUCCUCUAUAGACAGUCCUCUCUAGUGGACAUGAGUGCAACCGAUCAACUUUCUCUCGAAUACACAACAAACAAAGGAACCAUGUAGCACAAAGGAAAUUAAAUGACUUAGUGUACGUGCAUGACAAUCUAUGGCUCAGAUUGGAGUGCGUCCACAUGGAGCUUUAGUAUGAUGAGCCACUUCAUAAUGAGUUUGUAUAUGAUGAUAAAAAUCCCAUGAUUGAUUGCCUUGAGGGCUAGCAGCAGGUAAAGCUUGAUGAGGCAGGAUCCUUCUCAAUCAGCUAGCAUCAUAGCAAAGGAGGUUGGGGUGAAUACAAAGCUAUAAGGAAAGCAACACAUGCUACGCUCACAACUAGCCAAUGCACAGUACUAUAUCAUCUUACAAUAUGAGUGAUGACACAAAUGACAAUUCAAGCAAUGAUACAUCUAGUACCUAGAACAGUAGUAGGGAACCUAUUGGGAGGUGCAUACGACAACCACCUGGUCUAAGUUAAUUCACUGACGAGUUGCAUCACUCAUGCCACAUAGAAUGUGGACCACGGUGCAUGUUGUAAAGCUAGCAAGGAUACGAUAGCAUGUAACAGAUAGGCCACUCGAGGUGGUUUAAGACAUGGCACUGCUGCCACUGAAGAUAUAGCAAGCAGAGUAGAGUCCUGAAUAUCUCUUGAUCCUCAUCGUACACUGGAUCUGAUUCUACAAAGACAAGAUAUGACCAAUAUACAUAUCCUUUAUCUGAGAUGUCAUACUCAAACAACUACUACACAUUGUAAAUCCAAUGAGAAUAUGAUAACAUAUAGAAGAUAGGCCAACAUGGUUCAAGACAUGGCACUACUGCAACUGAUGAUAUAGCAAGCAAAGUAGGAUCUUGAAUCUGGAUCUUCAUCGUACAGCGGAUCCGAUUCUGCACAGCUAAGAUAUUACUAGAAUGUAUAUCCUUCAUCAAAAAUGUCAUAUUUGAGCAACUACUACCCUCAAUAGUCUCACUCAGAUAUGGAUCAGAUUCGUUGUCGUGAUCUUUCCUCGGACAGGAGUGCAAUGGCAAGCCAAUAUCAAAGGAUCAAUAUCAAGAUUGCUGUCCAGGAGACUCAAACUAUUGGAUGCAAGAAUGGGCAUAGUAUCUAGGUCGAAGUCAUAUCCAAGGCCCCAAAUAUGAAUAAGAUCCUAAUAUAUAUAAGUGAUAUAGACACCCCACAGAGGUCAAAUAUCGGUAUGUAUUUCAUAAUUCAAAUCAAUUUGAUAUAUAUUUCAAUCUCAAAAAUAUGCAUUGUCUAUGUUUAAUCAUUACAAAUCUAUAUUUAAUCAUUACAAUAUUAUCGACAAAGAAAUCAUAUGGUCUCUAAAAUAACCUUAAAAAUACUAAAAUAGAAAAAUAGAAAAACAAAAAGGUAAAAACACAAUGAAACAAUACCGAACCGGUUUACUUUUGCAUACCAAGUGUCAGUGUGGUUCGACCUAGUACCGUAUCAUACUGAUACCUGACUGGUACCAAGAUUGCGAACAUUGUGCCUUAUAUAAUAUAUUAUCUAAGAAAUGUUGAACCGGCCCGUACCGGCCGGUUCAGUCCGUACUGAACCGGUCCGAUUUGGCGUUAAAAAAUGGUACCGGCCCGUACCAACUAGGCCAAAUUUUUUGGGCUUUUGGAGGUAGAACCAAUGGUACCGGUUUGGUACCGGUUGGAACCGGUCCGGUGCUCGACAGGUAUGCCUACCGGUACCGGUUCGGCGAUCCUUGAUAUUAUGUUAAAAUGAAAUAAAGAGAAAUGCAUUUUAUAUCACAUCAAAAUCAGCUAUAGGAAACCUAUUUUGCCGCAUAUCAAUAGCCAUCACCGCCAAUCACCAUGACAUCUAUCAAUCAA